GUGAAUCAUCAAAUUUUUGAACGCAUAUUGCACUCUCUGGUAUUCCGGAGAGUAUGCCUGUUUGAGGGUAAUUAAAAAGAAUCAUUAACCAAUUUUUUUGGAUAAAGGAUAUGAGUUCUCUGCGUUUAUAGCGGUAGCUUGAAAUAAAUGGUCAAGUAUAAUGUUAGUAGAGUCGCGUAAUAAUAUUAUUUAGCGAAUUCUUUAUUAUGUGACUAUCAAGUUUUGAUGCAUACAAAUUUGGUUCGUAUGUGAUUAAUAGACAUAUUUUGAACAUUACCU
rnacentral:misc_RNA from 1 species